rnacentral:rRNA from 1 species
GGACGAAAGUCUGACGGAGCAACGUCGCGUGAGUGAUGAAGGUUUUCGGAUCGUAAAGCUCUGUUGUUAGGGAAGAACAAGUGCGAGAGUAACUGCUCGCACCUUGACGGUACCUAACCAGAAAGUCACGGCUAACUACGUGCCAGCAGCCGCGGUAAUACGUAGGUGGCAAGCGUUGUCCGGAAUUAUUGGGCGUAAAGGGCUCGCAGGCGGUUUCUUAAGUCUGAUGUGAAAGCCCCCGGCUCAACCGGGGAGGGUCAUUGGAAACUGGGAAACUUGAGUGCAGAAGAGGAGAGUGGAAUUCCACGUGUAGCGGUGAAAUGCGUAGAGAUGUGGAGGAACACCAGUGGCGAAGGCGACUCUCUGGUCUGUAACUGACGCUGAGGAGCGAAAGCGUGGGGAGCGAACAGGAUUAGAUACCCUGGUAGUCCACGCCGUAAACGAUGAGUGCUAAGUGUUAGGGGGUUUCCGCCCCUUAGUGCUGCAGCUAACGCAUUAAGCACUCCGCCUGGGGAGUACGGUCGCAAGACUGAAACU